GAGAGAAACUCGCCCACGAACUGCUCAUGAGGUUCCCGUGGCAGCUUGCCGCUUCUGUGGCCUCGCCUCAAGCCGGCUGGCGAGCCUGGCGGUUUCUUUAGGAUGGACCACAGCUGUCUGGUGUCUCCUUGCUGAAAGGACAGGACUGCAGCUGCUGGUUCACGCCUAGAGUCCGCCUGCCUAGAGGCCUGGUCUGCAGCUGCAGAGUCAUAUUUGGUGUUUCCUACAGGACUGAGCUGCUGAGAAAGAAGAUCAAGCUCGCACCCAAAGAACUAUUGCUGAACAGGUCCACUUCCCCCACAUCCUAAUAACGUCUCCAUUCCAUGACCUCUGCUGGGUGGUAGGAUAGAAGAGAGGUUGAACCCUUAUUAAAAGUAGGUUGCAAAAACUUUGAGCCAACAACAGAGUUUCCAUCUUUCCUGCUGUAAUCACGUUAGCCCCCAAAUCGCAGAGACCUGCUUGCUUCUACCUCCCGAGGGCUGGGAUUAAAGGUGUGCGCCACCACUGCCUGGAGCGGACAGUCUUCUGUAUUCCUGAGUUCCACAUCCUCAGAUUCAACCAAUCUCAGUUUGAAAACAUUUUUCAAAAAUUCCAUUUAUGUUGAACAUGUACGGAUUUGUUUUACUCUCUUGGUCUAUAGAAGGAUAAUGAAACACUGUGUAGAUAGUAUUUACAUUGUACGAGGCAUGGUAAAUUGCCCGAAGAUAUUUUAACAUAGGAAGAUAUGUGUAUGCCAAUGACAUGAUUUUAUAAGAGGUCUGAGCAUCCUUGGAUCUCAGUGCCGGUGAGGGUCCUGACACUGACCCCUUGAGUACUAAAGGACCACUGUCCAGCAGGCAUCUGUACACCCUGGAUUAUAUCACCAGCUUGCUGACGUCAUGUCACAUCUGUGUUCUAUGCUCUUGCCCUCCCAGAUGUGGGGACUUUACUGAAUCACUGCAGUCUAUUGCAGACAUGAUGACUCUUUUCUCUGGGUUUCUCCAGCAUCUACCUCCUAAAAACAGGACUACUCCGACGUAAAUGCAAUACAGAGAUUAAGAUCAUUGAGGAAUUUAAUAACAAAAUAUUAAAAUUUAUUUUGAGUGCCAAGUCAAUAUUCACAUUUCUUUCAGGUGGAUUUUAUUUACCCUUCAAGAUUGAUUUCAAGAAAAAACAGGGCUUUCAAGCACUCACAUUGCAUCUCCCAUAAAACUGUGUCUAUU
rnacentral:lncRNA from 1 species